UUAUCUCUCUUUUUCCCCUUUGAUGGGGUGAAGAAGAUUGGUUAGGGUUUUGCUGCUUCCAGUUUUUUCAAUCAAAUUUAUGCAUAGUUCAAUUUUAUACUUCUUGUUGUUAUGAUACUAUGUCCAAUUCCUCACUUCAAUUUUCUUUCAUUCAUCAUUGGUAUAAAUCUUAAAUUUAUUUGUUCUUCUGUUGUGACUAUGCCAAGAACAUAUGGUCCAAAAUUCUGCAGUGGCAGGGGAUACAUUGACAAGCACUAUCAUGGCAAGAGGAGUUGAGUUGAGGACAUGAAAUAGCUACCACUAACUUUGAUAUUUGUUUAACGGAAUUAGGAUGGAGUAUUCCACUAUCGGGAAGUGUGAGACAAUGCCAUCAACAAGAUUACUGAAUGUAAAGAUCAAAGCACUACUUUGCUUUGAACAAGAAAGAAUGAUAUGGAUUUGUCACCUACAACUACUCUUUCUUUUUUACAACGAUCUUUUGGAUUUCAAAAUGUUGCAGAGCUUGAUAAAUUUCUUGACUCCUGCAUCUGGUGUGCAAAAGAUAUUGGGAUCCGUAUACAUAGAUAUGGUCCUUAGACCAACUUGUAUGGUUUAUCCACCAUUGACAUCUCAAAGCCAGGCAAAUUGGAAAUUGGAGGGACAGAGCACCAAGCAAUGUUCAACUUCGUCAAAUGAAUGUUUGACUACCUUUAUUAUGACAGAAGACACGGUUAAUAUAUCAAAUGUCACUGGAUUUUUCUCCCCUGCUGAAACACAUCCCCUUGAUGCAAUAUGUUCGAGGCAUUUGCUGAGCAGGAUCGCCUACUCAAAGGCACCAAUAUUUGGAACCUGUCAGUCUCUUACAAUAAGCUGUGUUUUGAGGCUGUAAAUAGUAGAGCAAAGGAACUACCAUUCAGCAGAUAAACAUAAUUACAUCAACUACCAAGCUUUACUUUUCAAGAUGACUUUGAUCUCUUUAUUAUCAGGUCGCCGUGAAAUUCAGUUAAGUUGAUGAGAAGCUCUCUCACUUGCUGUAGUUACCAUAUUUUUUCUUGUGAGAAGAUGCUUAAAUGAUUGCUUCCUCAUCACUCUAGAACUAAAUUUGUGCAUUUCUAAUCAUUAUAGUCGGAAGGGAUCGAACUUCCUUAUAUCGUGCAGGCUCGAGACAAUGUCAUGCUACAAUAUCUAUGUGACAAGGAAAAAGAAGACGAGGAAUUGAAUAAACCUCUCUCAAGAUCAAACAGAAAAGAGAAUCAGUUGUGGGUUUUAGAGAAGCAUAGAGGAUUCCAGGAGUCGGGUCAUUUGCUUUUUGCAUUUUUUGGUUGCUUACACAUUUCUCUAUCGUGCCUCCGGUACUAUAUUCGCCAUACAAAUAUGCUAACUGUUCUACAUUUGUCAUAUUGGAUAUGUCGUCUUGUUGUUUUCUUACUCUAUUAUGUAAAAGUGUAUCUUGAUCCUUUUGUGACGAUACUUGUCCUGAGGAAUCUAGUAACUUAUCAACAUUGUUUGAUGUCAAAGGGGUAGUAGGUGGAAUCCUCAUAGGUCAUGUAUCCCAGCUCCAUGCCUAUUUCAAAGCUACGGACACAUCUCCGUGAUAUAAACAUUAUUCUCAUAAUAGCCUAACAUGUGUAUUAGAGGAGAACUUAACCUUUUGAAUACUUUCAGGAAAUGAAUUUGAAAUAAAAUAAAGACCACCUUGUCAGUACACAUUUCACUUCCAUCUAUAAUUUCCAUCAUCCGAUUCUCCUUCUAGCUUCUCCAUUUAUUGAUUCGAUUUCUCAAUAUGAAUAGUUUUUUCUGUGAUUACGUUGUAAUGUGGAUGUAUAAUUCAAUUAAUCAUCAUUAAGCUUUAUUGAGGCUUAACAACUUAUUCUUGUGUAUUUGUUUAAUUACUUGUAACUCCUGACAUUCUUCUCUUGAACAUGUCAUUCGAGGAGCUUUGAGAUUUUCCAUUUUUGCUACACUAGAAGUUUGUUCCUAUACAAUAUAACUGGUUUUCCAUUCUAUUUUUUCUCUAAAAAGAUUACAGUGGCGUUUUACCCUUUUUGCUUAGGAAUAUUGCUUCAAAUGUCUUGCAGAAUUUUACAGGAGAUUCUUCAAAUGAUUAGAAAAUAUUUAUUGGACAUCAUAUUUGGCAAAUAUUUAUGGAACAUGAAGCCCGUGAUAUUGCUACUUAAGGUUUAAGUUGGUAUCAGCUGUCGAGCAAAAUUUGUUCAAAAUAUUAUAGUCUUCAUGUAUGAUGACAAGCAUUGCUUAAUGAAGAGAAUCCAAGAUCAGAGUUCUCAUUAUAAUCCUGCUGGUGAGGAUGUUUACAAAGGAGUCUCUAAGGUUGUAUAUUAUUAGAGACAUCGGAGGGUGGUGGAGAAAGAACACAUAAUAGUGUUAUGCCUAUAUGACUUAUGAAGACAUUCUCGGGCAUAAACUUUUAAACAAACUUUUUGCAGUUGUGUAUAUGUUCAUGUUGCCACUACUUUAAAGUGUAAAAUGUUGGGAGCACGGCAACACUCAUCUAGUAUAUACUAGAUUUCACAGUUUCAGAACUAACAAGGUUAUUACCA